GAUGAACGCUGGCGGCGUGCCUCAAACAUGCAAGUCGAGCGAGGCUAUGAAUUACCGCAAGGUAAGGCAUAGCCUAGCGGCGAACGGGUGAGUAACACGUGGGUAACCUACCUGGAAGACAGGGAUAACGAUUCGAAAGGGUCGCUAAUACCUGAUAAUAUCCAUCUGCCGGAUGGCGGAGGGAAGAAAGGGGAAACCCGCUUUCAGAUGGGCCCACGUCCCAUCAGCUAGUUGGUAAGGUAAAGGCUUACCAAGGCGACGACGGGUAGCCGGUCUGAGAGGAUGUACAGCCACACUGGGACUGAGAUACGGCCCAGACUCCUACGGGAGGCAGCAGUUGGGAAUCUUAGGCAAUGGACGAAAGUCUGACCUAGCGACGCCGCGUGAGGGAAGAAGGCCUUCGGGUUGUAAACCUCUGUCAUGGGGGAAGAAGGAAGUGACGGUACCCCAAGAGGAAGCCCCUGCUAACUACGUG
rnacentral:rRNA from 1 species